GCCACGCCCGCUGCCUCCACCUACAGGAAGCCCGUCUGGCCUGGAGCCCAGGUGCACUCAGAACUGUGGGGUUGGGGACAGUCAAGCGUCUCCGAUGCCCAGGGAGGCUAAGCAAGUAGCCAGAGGAGACCCAGGUGCGUUCGUGGGGCAGCCUGAGGGACCACCUGGGUGAGCCACGCUGGCUGAGCCUUAUCUGUGACGUCCGUCCACAUGUCCCUGCUGCCAUUGGCUGCCCUGGGCUACCCAGACCCAGCGGGGUCUCCCGCAGGAGUCCUCUCUGGGGCAGCGCCCUGAGGGCUAAGGGCCAAUAAGGCUGUGAGGACACUUUGUGGAGUGGCAGGGGCCCUGGGGACAGGAAGCCCUUGGCCCCACGGCGGGGGGGGGGGGGGGUGGGGGGUGGGAGGGAUGUCAUAAGACACCACUCAUCUAAAAGCAAAUGUUUUCUGACCUCACCUGAUGAACUGGCCAGGCUGAGGGGCACCUGCUUGACCUUGGACACCCGCAGACGUGCACGCUCAGCCCCAGCCCUCCCCCUCCCCACCGCAGACAUGCAUCCAGUCCUUCCUCCAGCAGGUGGUCUGUGUCCGCAAGGCCAGCGCUCAUGACCACGACUCGAAGGGGUCCGCGUGCGCUGCCUCUCCCAGCUCGCCGGCGAGAUGAGCCUCCAGAGACACAGCGAUCUCCAGAGAAGGGUUUGGGGACGACGCGAGAGUUCCGAGCAGGAGCAGGCUGAGGCGAAAUGGAGCUCUGACUGACACCAGCGCGGCCUGGAGGAGUGAGUGAAUCCGUGGUGCUGGAAACCUCCACGGAGUCCUUGCUGCUCAAGUAAUCGGGAUGCGUUUGCGCGUUUUAAGAAACAAAAGAAGGAAGACAGUUCGAG